rnacentral:lncRNA from 1 species
AACAGGAAUAUCAAGUGAUCCUGAGGGCUGAGGGAGGCCUAAUCUUCAAGGGGUGCGUUUUGAGCCAGGCUGUUGCCUGUGACUGCAGAUGACAUUCUCUGGGGUUUCAGUCAGAGGCAGAGGCUUCCUGAGCUUUCCUGAGACACUCCUGGCUUUGUCUGUGCAGGGGGGAAGGCAGCAGCAAAGGGAAAAGACAAGAGAUCUAUUUGGGGAGCCAAGCAGUUCCCUGCAAAGUUGCGCCACUGAAGCUCUGCAUCCUAGCAACCUGCAUUCUGCCCACUUUUCCAGCAGGUGCCGUCCUGAGGACUCCGUCACCUCGCCCUCAUUCAGAAUCAUUAUUCACGAUAGCCAAGAGGUGGAAGCAACCGAAAUGUUCCAAAGACAGAUGAAUGGACAAAGCAAAUGUGGUAUGUGCAUACAAUGAAAUAUUAUACAGCCUUAAAAAAGAAGAAAAUCUUACUAUUUGCAACAACAUGGAUGGACCUGGAAAGCAUUACAGUAAGUGAAAUGAGGCAGUCACAGGACAAAUACUGCAUGAUUCCACUAAUAUGAUGGAUCUAAAAUACUCAAACUUUUAGAAGCAGAAAAUAGAAUAGUGGUUGGCAGGGGAUAGGGGAAAGGGGAAAUGGGGAGUUGUUGUUCAAUGGGUAUAAAGUUUCAGUUAUAUGAGAUGAUAUGGUUUGGAUCUGUGUCCCCGCUCAAAUCUCAUGUCAAAUUGUAAUCCCCAAAGUUGGAGGUGGGGCCUGGUGGUUGGAGGUGAUUGGAUCAUGGGGACGGCUUCUCAUGGUUUAACACCAUCCCCCUUGGUGCUAUUGUGGUGAUAGUGAAUUCUUGUGAGAUCUGGUUGUUUAAAAGUGUGUGGCACCUUCCCCGUCUCUCUCUUGGUCCUGUUCCUGCCAUAUAAGAUGCCUGCUCCUGCUUUGCCUUCCACCAUGAGUAAAAACUCCCUGAGGCCUCCCCAGAAGCAGAUGCUGCCAUGCUUCCUGUAUAGCCUGCAGAACUGUGAGCCAAUUAAAC